AUGACAGUACAACGAAUACCAGAAAUAAUAGAAAUCACAUCCAGAUCCGUAGACCACCUAGCGACAACUAUCAGCACUGAAGCGAGCCGAAGGCGCGCCGUUAUCAUCGCCCCUCCAUCAUCAGAGUCGGACACAACUUGUUGUAGUAGACAGUCGGGAAGUUGUCGUGCUAAGGCCCGUUGGACCAGCGCACCAGAACAGCAACCACUGCAGAUGAAGAAUAACGUAGAUCAGAAAAAUCCAAUCCGAAGACACACGUACGUAGACGAACCACGACGAGAUCCGAGCAAAUCCACCAAAGAUAGAUCCGCCGGAGACACAUCUCCACACGCCCACCAACGAUGCUAG
rnacentral:rRNA from 1 species